rnacentral:rRNA from 1 species
CCAGACUCCUACGGGAGGCAGCAGUGAGGAAUAUUGGUCAAUGGGCGCGAGCCUGAACCAGCCAAGUCGCGUGAGGGAAGACGGUCCUAUGGAUUGUAAACCUCUUUUGUCGGGGAGCAAAGGACGCCACGUGUGGCGUUCCGAGAGUACCCGAAGAAAAAGCAUCGGCUAACUCCGUGCCAGCAGCCGCGGUAAUACGGCGGAUGCGCGCGUUAUCCGGAUUUAUUGGGUUUAAAGGGUGCGUAGGCGGAGUUUUAAGUCAGGGGUAAAAGGUCCGGGCUCAACCCGGGCCGGGCGUUGAAACUGGGGAUCUUGAGUGGGCGAGAAGUAUGCGGAAUGCGUGGUGUAGCGGUGAAAUGCAUAGAUAUCACGCAGAACUCCGAUUGCGAAGGCAG